rnacentral:lncRNA from 1 species
CUGCUGCUUGCCAUUGUCUCCUGUGUGAGAAAUCUCUCUGGGUAUUAGAAACCUUUAUACAAUAUUAAUGGGGAUUAGAAGGGAGCAUCCAAGGGCCAGGUCAGAGCCAGUCCUUUUCACUCAUGUAAAUGACCUGAGACAAAUAUAAACCGAGAGGGUUCACAUCCUAACAAGGCAUUUUUGUUCCCAUCCGUGGUGAUCGAAUCAUUGAAAGAAGACCCUGUUGGUGACCCCAGCCCAAAUCUGAAAGGCAUUUGCAUCCCUGUGAGCUGGGAUCAGCGCACAGUGGCCGGUGCCUGAUCUCCACAGAGCGAGCACAGGAGGUCGACUUUCUGGGAGGAAGUAAAGAGGCUGACGCAUCUGCUAGACUCAAGGACAGUCCCAGCAGCACCUCCACUGCGUGCGGAGAGGGAGGAAGCGCCACGGAUAAGGAGAGCCAGCUUCACAGUCAGGCACAGCCUCAAACCCCAGCCGUGCCGCUUUUUGGAGCUGUGACCUCCUUACCCUCUCCCAGUCUGGUUAUCCUCACCUGGAAAACGGGGUUGCCGUUACGUCCGUCCCAAGGCUGCUGCAAAGACAGAAGAGGAGCGCCACGCACAGACUCACAGAGGAGCUCAGUGACGCUGGGCCCUUCCUUCCCCCACUCAUCGAGUUCUGCAACACCGAAAAUCCCGUUCACUCAAAAAAAAAAAAAAAAACGGGGGGACUUAUCCUAACCAAGAUUCAACGGACUAGUAUAGGCGGAGGCUAGGCGCUCGGACCCGGGCCCAAACUGUGUGUGUCCAAACUCUUGUCUCAGCCAUCUCCCAGGUGUGUGGACUCAGACAAGCUACUUAACAUCUGUGUGCCUCAGUUUCCCACUCUGCAAAACGAGGAUAAUAAAAAUCCCAUCUACCUCGUAAGGUUGUCAUGAGGAUUGAGUGAGUUACACGUGAAGUGCUUGGAACAGUGCAUGACCCCAACUUAUUUUUUUUUAAUGCAUCCUUUUAGGUAACAGUUUGGUUAGAAGAAAUAAGAAAACUUCCUUGAGGCCAUUUUUUUCUAAAUUUUGUGGAAAAACAAUUAUGUUGUAUGAAAAAAAUACCGAAUGAAAUUGCCAAUAUGCUGCAAUUUUCACCUACAAAAAUGGCAGGUUCAUAUAGUCCCACCCAGUUAGUAAAUUUCUGAGCCUCAGUUUACACAUCUGUAGAAUGUGUAUCCUAGUCCUUACAUUCUGAGGCUACGGUGUAGCUUAGUGCUAAUGUAAAAUGUUGGCACAAAGUAGGGACUUAGUGAAUGACAGCAGCUGGUGGUGUAAAACCACCAAUCUUCUU